GAGUUGUAAUUUGCAGAGGAUGCUUUGGAUGCUGUCCGGUGUAAAGUCCCUUGGAACAGGGCGCCGUGGAGGAUGAAAGCUCCGUCCGCAUCGGAUUCAGCUUUCCAUGUAAAGCUCCUUCAAAGAGUCGAGUUGUUUGGGAAUGCAGCUCUAAAUGGGAGGUAAAUUUCUUCCAAAGCUAAAUACCGGCUAGAGACCGAUAGCGCACAAGUAGAGUGAUCGAAAGAUGAAAAGCACUUUGGAAAGAGAGUUAAAAAGCACGUGAAAUUGUUGAAAGGGAAGCUUAUGUCGUCAGACUUGAUGCCGAAGUUCAGCCUUAUGGUGUAUUCUUUGGCAUCAGGCUAGCAUCAGUUUGGGCAGCUGGAUAAAAGCUUUGGGAAUGUAACUCUUCGGAGUGUUAUAGCCCGAUGCAGAAUGUGGCUCGUCCAAACUGAGGUCCGCUUUGAGGAUGC
rnacentral:rRNA from 1 species